GAUGAACGCUAGCGGCAGGCCUAACACAUGCAAGUCGAGGGAGAAGCCCUUUCGGGGGCAGACACCGGCGCACGGGUGCGUAACGCGUAUGCAACCUACCUUUCACAGGGGGAUAGCCCGAAGAAAUUUGGAUUAAUACCCCAUAAUAUUAUUGGAUGGCAUCAUUUGAUAAUUAAAACUGCGGUGGUGAAAGAUGGGCAUGCGUCCUAUUAGCUAGUUGGAGUGGUAACGGCACCCCAAGGCUACGAUAGGUAGGGGUCCUGAGAGGGAGAUCCCCCACACUGGUACUGAGACAGGGACCAGACUCCUACGGGAGGCAGCAGUGAGGAAUAUUGAUCAAUGGUCGGAAGACUGAACCAGCCAUGCCGCGUGCAGGAAGAAUGCCUUAUGGGUUGUAAACUGCUUUUAUAUGGGAAGAAUAAGGCGUACGUGUACGUUGAUGACGGUACCAUAUGAAUAAGCAUCGGCUAACUCCGUG
rnacentral:rRNA from 1 species